rnacentral:rRNA from 1 species
AAUUUAAGCAUAUAAGUAGGUGGAGGAAAAGAAACCGAAUGGGAAUCUCUUAGUAAUGGCGAAUGAAAAGAGAUGUGCUUAGUGUCAAAAUCAGGUUGCCCUGACUUGUAGGCUGUAGGGGUGAUGCCAACUUGGGUGCAGGUGAAAGUCUCUUGGAAAGGAGCACCAGUGAGGGUCAGGGUCCCGCCAGUCAUCUGUGAUCCCUUGUAGACGGUUUGCCCAUAGAGAGUCGUGUUCUUCUGGAAUAGAGCGCCAAACGGGUGGUACUCUUUGCCUAAGGAGCAUUACGUGCUUGAGACCAAUAGUGAACAAGUACCAUGAGGGAAGGAUGAAAAGGACUUUGGAAAGAGGGUUAAGAGGGCAUGAAGCUGCUGGAAGGGAAGUGGAUUGGACUUUUCUUAGGUGGUAAGAUUGCAGCUUGCAGUCUUCACUUGUGGGGAACUGUGAGUUGUGUCUCUUGCCACUUGGUUGAGCUUUGUGUAGCGCUCAGAAUCUUAGCGUGGACUGGAGAAGGGUUGCGAUCUGGACCAUGUCCUUGCAUUCUCUUAGCGCAACAUUCAUCUUGACCAAAUUGUUCAAUUUUACCCGUCUUGAAACACGGACCAAGGAGUCUAAUGCGUGUGCAAGUGUAAGGGAUUAACACCUGAUAGCUCAACAAAGGUGACUGCUGGGAUUUCUGCACCAGCAACCAACUGAUCGCUUAGGAGAUGUUUGUGUAUGAGCACACUUGCUAGGACCCGAAAGGUGGUGAACUAUGCCUGAGAAGGGUGACGUCAGGGGAAACUCUGAUGGAAGCUCGUAGCGCUACUGACGUGCAAAUCGUUCGUCUGACUUGGGUAUAGGGGCGAAAGACUAAUCGAACCAUCUAGUAGCUGGUUCCCUCCGAA